UUUAAAUGUUAUACACAAUAAUAACGUUAUAAUUUUCAACUUUUCUUUUAACUGUUAAUUCGUUAAUUGAUGUUUGAAUUUUUCACAUUGAUACUGCUUUUAGAACUUGUAAAUGGUAUGGUUUUCAAUGAGAUAUUUAUCCAUAAAAAAAAUCAAUAAAUAAAAAAAACCCAAAGAACCAAGAUGAAAAUAACAGCAGGUCACCGAUACGGCAUUCAAUGAUAAGUAAAACCGUAUAGCAGUUCAUAACUGGCCUCCGAGUUGCCUAAAAAUUGAGAAUUAAAAAUUGACAAAGUAUAACUAACGGUCUGAUUUAAGCAAAUAGCAGUAAGAGAAAUACAAUUGUAGCCGACGACAACUUACGUCAACCACUUGACUACAGUCUCCCGUCUUAGGAUAUGAACGUAAACAAUGUGCAAUGUUAAUGUGUAUAUAACUUCAAUGUUUGAGGUAAUUAACGCAAAUAUAAGCACAAAACGUAGAGCUACACAAGCCGGUUAAUCGUUAUAUACCAUGUAUAAGUACCAUACACAAAAAAUACCGACUAUUUUGUAGGGUGCAAGGCACGCAUUCUCUGAAUCAACCUACAUUUAGCACGCUCUUGUCUUAAUUUCGAUCAUUGAAAUCCAAAGACCAAUAUAAAAUUAAAACUUGAACAUAACAAAUGUAAUGCACAAGACAUUUAACUAACUUUCAAUAAGAACUUGGAGAAAAAUUUGAACAAUUCUAUCCCGGGUUGCGUGCAACAUACAGCAAAUUAGAUCAAUGAACUGAAUUGGAAUACAAGGCGUAAUGCAUAGACAAAGUAUAAGGUAUAUUAAGGCGACAGUAGUUUACCGAUGUCCAAAUCUUGUAUAUCGUUUAUGAACAGAGAAAUUAAGGUAUCAAAUGAAAACUGAAGGAAUAGCAUGAACUUUAUAAGUAGCGAGAACGGGAGCCACGAAAGGAAAUUACUACAGAAACAGAGGAAACAUUCACACAAGCUCAGAUUCCUAUAAAUAAUUUUCCUUCUUCUGUUACUUUGCGCCGACAAAUAAACUUUGAAUACGAGGAAGACGAAUACUUUGAAAUCAUAGACAGUGCCUUCGUAGGCAAUAACGUAGUGUUUCCUGAUUACAACAGUUCCAGGUUAAUUAUCAGCACGGUAGACAGUAAUGAUAUCCGUCAUAUGGACAUGGAUUACUACCCAAGAUAUAUAACAGCAGUAAAUUAUAACUCCUUGGCAGUAGCCUGUACAAGACACUUUGUCAUACAGAUUAUAGAUAUAUCAAAAGACACCGUUGUACGGACAAUUCCAACCAGCAGUGAAUGUGUUGGAAUAUCAUACAGCGAAGAUAAAUUAUAUGUUGAUGCUAGUGAUAUAGAAGUAAUGGAUCUAUAUGGUCAUGUAUUGCGCACCUUUCCAAGUCCUGGUGUUGAUCUCGGCUAUUUAACAGUAGACGGAGACAGGUUUUUCUUUUGUGACGCAUUCACGUUAUUUUGUUGUGAUCUAAACGGUAAUGUUAAAUGGGAAGGCUAUAAGGAUAUUUACGGCAUGGCAACAGAUUCGAAGGGAAAUGUUUAUUUGGCUAAUGUUGAUAGUGAUAGAAUUGUGGUUAUUUCCCCUGAUGGUAGUCAUCAUAAGGAUAUUCUGACUGACUUUGAUUCUCUUGAAUCACCAAUAUCACUUGACUUUGACAAAAAGAAAAACCUAAUGGUUGUUCGUACCACUGGGAAUACUAGUGCAUACAAUUUGAUGUUACAUAUUAUGGUUGAUUUGAUGGUGUACAUUCAUCGAAAUGGAUAUAAAAUGUCGCAUUUA